GAGCCGGGGAAGCGACGCGAAGACCCCCGUCCGGCGCAACCCGCUCGCGUGGACGCGGAAAGUGGCGGGCGGCGGGUCCCGGUGGUGCCUGCGUAGGGCAGAGUUGCCCCCUGGCGGCGGUGCGACGACCUGCGGGCCCUCGCGCCCGGGCCGGCAACUCCCUGGGAGCUCGGCCCGCGCGGGGAACUCGCCCAGCAGCCUGUGUUUCUCGAGUGUGGGCAGCCGGCUCCCGGGCGUCCCUCCCACCGGCUGCGGGGGCCCGGGACUGGGCGGUAGUGGAGGCAGGUCCUUGGACUGCAGGCUGAGGCUUUUUCCCCCCACGAGCGGUUUGGGCCCUCCAGGAGCCCCUGCGCGGGGGUCACGUGGAUUACGCUAGGUGAGAGCCGGAGAGGCUGCGCCACCGUCGGGAGGCUCCCUGCCUCCGCCCUUUGUCCUUUGCCCCUGACCAUGAGCGCCCCAAGCCCAGGGACCUCCUUAGGGGGAUGAAGGCUGGAAGAGACCUGGGGGCUCAGACUUACGGGGAAGGAACCUAGGCUAUUCCUUGUGCAUCCCAGGAUUUUACCCAUGAACGUGAACAUGAACGUGUUUUCAACCCCAGCGGUUCCCCUGGCGCCUCGACCCUCCUUUGAAGAGUCAUUCUAGAAGGCUGUAUUGCGAUAGUGUUUGUACCUGUCACUGUGAGCCCUGAAAAGAGACAGAAGAAAACGCGAGUGCCUGGCCUGAGGGUGCUCCGUCCCGUGGGUAGCCAGCCCUAGUGUCUGCUUCCAGAAAGCCUUCCCUGAUGACCUCACCUCCACCUGCUCUGAAUUCCGACUGCACCUCGUUCCACAGCAGUCAGCACCCAGUGUGGAAAUAUAUUAAUGAAACCGCCUUUACAAAAUUAUGACUGAGACAGUGAAAGAAAUCUAACUUAACCAACUCCAUCUUGCUUCUAACCCCCAAGCUAUCCUUGUUCAUUCCUAGGUGUAGGCUUAACUAACUUUGGGAGAAGUUAGUAAGGGUAAUAGCCCUUUCCCAAAGCAGUCCUCCUUCUUACCUGGGACUGGAUUGCCUUUGUAGGACUAACAUUAGCCACAAGAUUAGAAAUUAUGGUUUAGGAGUCAUGCAGCCGAAGGCUACAAGAUUCUGACCCUCCCUAAACUGCUCCAAAGAUCAGCGCUUGAGAUAUUUGGCAGACCCUGCACUUGAUGGAUCAGCUGGCCCCACACAGAUCAAUAAACUGGCUCAUCUGAUCUUGUGGCCUCCACCUAGGAACUGACUGAGCAAAAGAAGACAGCUCCAAUUCCAUAUGAUUCAUCUCUGACCAAUCAGCACUCCUGGCUCACUGGCUUCCUCUCACCCACCAAGUUAUCCUUAAAAACUCUGCUUCCCAAAUGCUUGGGGAAACUGAUUUAAGUAAUAAUAAAACUCUGGUCUCCCCGCCGGCUGGCUCUGUGUGAAUUACUCUUUUUCUAUUGCAAUUCCCCUGUCUUAAGGAAUUGGCUCUGUCUAGGCAGCAGGCAAGGUAAACCUCUUGGGCAGUUACAUUAAUACUUGCUCACCUACCUAUCUCCUCUGCUAAAGUGUGAUCUAUUUGAAGGCAGGCUCCAUGUCAUCUUCACCUCAGCAUUCUCAAAACCUAACCCAGUGAUACAGGAG
rnacentral:lncRNA from 1 species